UGCGCUUGAAAGGGGCGCGGUGGGGCACUAGAAAAACAGGGAUCGCGACGGUCAAAGGGAACAUGGGGUGCGGCGAACGCCAAAUCCCCGGCUGCCCCCGCAACUGUAAGCGGCGAGUGAGCCCCGCAUCAUGCCACUGGGAAACUGGGAAGGCGCGAGGUCCACGUCAGAGCCGCAAAGCCAGGAGACCUGCCGUUCGCGCGUCGUCCUU
rnacentral:ncRNA from 1 species